rnacentral:rRNA from 1 species
UGGGGAAUUUUGGACAAUGGGCGAAAGCCUGAUCCAGCAAUGCCGCGUGUGUGAAGAAGGCCUUCGGGUUGUAAAGCACUUUUGUCCGGAAAGAAAUGGUUCUGGUUAAUACCUGGGGGCGAUGACGGUACCGGAAGAAUAAGGACCGGCUAACUACGUGCCAGCAGCCGCGGUAAUACGGAGGGUCCAAGCGUUAAUCGGAAUUACUGGGCGUAAAGCGUGCGCAGGCGGUUGUGCAAGACCGAUGUGAAAUCCCCGAGCUUAACUUGGGAAUUGCAUUGGUGACUGCACGGCUCGAGUGUGUCAGAGGGGGGUAGAAUUCCACGUGUAGCAGUGAAAUGCGUAGAGAUGCGGAGGAAUACCGAUGGCGAAGGCAGCCCCCUGGGAUACCACUGACGCUCAUGCACGAAAGCGUGGGGAGCAAACAGG